GAUGAACGCUAGCGGCAGGCUUAACACAUGCAAGUCGAGGGGCAGCACGAGUAGCAAUACUUGGUGGCGACCGGCGCAAGGGUGCGUAACGCGUGAGCAACAUGCCCGUAUCAGGGGGAUAAUCCAGGGAAACUUGGUCUAAUACCCCAUAGUAAUCAUAUCAGGCAUCUGGUAUGAUUUAAAGCUUAGGUGGAUACGGAUUGGCUCGCGUGACAUUAGCUAGAUGGUAAGGUAACGGCUUACCAUGGCUAUGAUGUCUAGGGGUUCUGAGAGGAAGGUCCCCCACACUGGAACUGAGACACGGUCCAGACUCCUACGGGAGGCAGCAGUGAGGAAUAUUGGACAAUGGAUGGAAAUCUGAUCCAGCCAUGCCGCGUGAAGGACGACGGUCCUAUGGAUUGUAAACUUCUUUUGUAUGGGAGCAAUAAGGUCUACGUGUAGUCGAUGAGAGUACCAUACGAAUAAGC
rnacentral:rRNA from 1 species